rnacentral:rRNA from 1 species
ACUCCUACGGGAGGCAGCAGUGGGGAAUAUUGCACAAUGGGCGCAAGCCUGAUGCAGCCAUGCCGCGUGUGUGAAGAAGGCCUUCGGGUUGUAAAGCACUUUCAGUCGUGAGGAAGGUAGUGUAGUUAAUAGCUGCAUUAUUUGACGUUAGCGACAGAAGAAGCACCGGCUAACUCCGUGCCAGCAGCCGCGGUAAUACGGAGGGUGCGAGCGUUAUCCGGAUUUAUUGGGUUUAAAGGGUCCGUAGGCGGGUUAAUAAGUCAGUGGUGAAAUCCCAUCGCUUAACGAUGGAACUGCCAUUGAUACUGUUAGUCUUGAAUGAGGGUGCAGUGGUUGGAAUGUGUAGUGUAGCGUGAAAUGCAUAGAUAUUACACAGAACACCGAUUGCGAAGGCAGAUCACUAACCCUAAAUUGACGCUGAGGGACGAAAGCGUGGGGAGCGAACAGGAUUAGAUACCCUGUAGGUGACAAU